rnacentral:rRNA from 1 species
GAUGAACGCUGGCGGCGUGCCUAAUACAUGCAAGUCGAGCGAACAGACGAGGAGCUUGCUCCUCUGACGUUAGCGGCGGACGGGUGAGUAACACGUGGAUAACCUACCUAUAAGACUGGGAUAACUUCGGGAAACCGGAGCUAAUACCGGAUAAUAUAUUGAACCGCAUGGUUCAAUAGUGAAAGACGGUUUUGCUGUCACUUAUAGAUGGAUCCGCGCCGCAUUAGCUAGUUGGUAAGGUAACGGCUUACCAAGGCAACGAUGCGUAGCCGACCUGAGAGGGGGGAUGGCCACCCGGGAACUGAGACACGGUCCAGACUCCUAAGGGAGGCCGCAGUAGGGAAUCUUCCGCAAUGGGCGAAAGCCUGACGGAGCAACGCCGGGUGAGUGAUGAAGGUCCUCGGAUCGUAAAACUCUGUUAUUAGGGAAGAACAAAUGUGUAAGUAACUAUGCACGUCUUGACGGUACCUAAUCAGAAAGCCACGGCUAACUACGUG